rnacentral:lncRNA from 1 species
ACUAGAGCAGAAGCACUUUUUCUCUCCGGCGACAGAUUACAUCGGUGACACUUCGCUCCGAGAGAGGGAAAUCGAAGCCUUCAUCAUCACCAACAACCCUCUCAUCGCGGGAGGAGCAAUCUUCAUCAUCAUCAUCAACAACACCAUCUCAUCUCAAGCCCUUGUUCAUCUCUUGUAUUCAAUCUUUGUGUUAGAACUUUAGAUUGGUACAUGUGAUUGGCUUGUAGUGUUGAUUACUUAUCGUAGUUGAUGCUAGUUGGUUUGCCUCUUGAGAUAUUAAAUGUUCAGAUCCUUUAUGUUGUUCAAUAAACCUCUGUUCUUGAAAACCAUGAUGAUGAGUGAGUAGUUACUUUUGUUCUCGAGGACAUGGGAGAAGUCUUUUCGUAAGUAAUCAUGUGAAUUUGGUAUUCGUUCGAUUUUUGAUAAUAUGUAUGUUGUGAUUCUCUUACUGGUGUCAUGUGAACGUUGAAUAGAUGACACUUAAACAUUCAUGGGUCUAAGGGAAAUCAUUGUCGAGUAGUAAUUAUAUUAUGGGUUGCUAGAGUGACAGAACCCUAAACCCGAGUUUUUGUGUUAUUCCAUAAGU